GACCUGAUGAUGUAACUGGUAACAUUCCGGCUUACUUACACUGAGUUGAAAGUGAGUGAUAUAAGCAGGGGUUCCUGGUUCGAUUCGGGGUCAGGUUA